rnacentral:rRNA from 1 species
UGAGASGGUGACCGKCCACNACUGGGACUGAGACACGGCCNAGACUCCUACGGGAGGCAGCAGUGRGGAANUAUUGCACAAUGGSCGCAAGCCUGAUGCAGCGACGCCGCGUGAGGGAUGACGGCCUUNCGGGUUGUAAACCUCUUUCAGUAGGGAAGAAGCGAAAGUGACGGUACCUGCAGAAGAAGCGCCGGCUAACUACGUGCCAGCAGCCGCGGUAAUACGUAGGGCGCAAGCGUUAUCCGGAAUUAUUGGGCGUAAAGAGCUCGUAGGCGGUUUGUCGCGUCUGCCGUGAAAGUCCGGGGCUCAACUCCGGAUCUGCGGUGGGUACGGGCAGACUAGAGUGAUGUAGGGGAGACUGGAAUUCCUGGUGUAGCGGUGAAAUGCGCAGAUAUCARGAGGAACACCGAUGGCGAAGGCAGGUCUCUGGGCAUUAACUGACGCUGAGGAGCGAAAGCAUGGGGAGCGAACAGGAUUAGAUACCCUGGUAGUCCAUGCCGUAAACGUUGGGNCACUAGGUGUGGGGGACAUUCCACGUUUUNCCGCGCCGUAGCUAACGCAUUAAGUGCCCCGCCUGGGGAGUACGGNCCGCAAGGCUAAANCUCAAAGGAAUUGACGGGGGCCCGCACAAGCGGCGGAGCAUGCGGAUUANUUCGAUGCANCGCGAAGAACCUUACCAAGGCUUGACAUGGACCGGAUCGC